AGAGUUUGAUCCUGGCUCAGGACGAACGCUGGCGGCGUGCUUAACACAUGCAAGUCGAGCGAGGCCCUCCUUCGGGGGGUGCCCUAGCGGCGAACGGGUGAGUAACACGUGGGCAACCUGCCCUCAGCUCUGGGAUAACUCCAAGAAAUUGGUGCUAAUACCGGAUGUGACCGCUGACCGCAUGGUCUGGUGGUGGAAAGAUUCAUCGGCUGAGGAUGGGCCCGCGGCCUAUCAGCUUGUUGGUGGGGUAAUGGCCCACCAAGGCGACGACGGGUAGCCGGCCUGAGAGGGUGACCGGCCACACUGGGACUGAGACACGGCCCAGACUCCUACGGGAGGCAGCAGUGGGGAAUAUUGCGCAAUGGGCGAAAGCCUGACGCAGCGACGCCGCGUGAGGGAUGACGGCCUUCGGGUUGUAAACCUCUUUCAGUAGGGACGAAGCGCAAGUGACGGUACCUACAGAAGAAGCACCGGCCAACUACGUGCCAGCAGCCGCGGUAAUACGUAGGGUGCAAGCGUUGUCCGGAAUUAUUGGGCGUAAAGAGCUCGUAGGCGGUCUGUCACGUCGGCUGUGAAAACCCGAGGCUCAACCUCGGGCCUGCAGUCGAUACGGGCAAACUAGAGUACUGCAGGGGAGACUGGAAUUCCUGGUGUAGCGGUGAAAUGCGCAGAUAUCAGGAGGAACACCGGUGGCGAAGGCGGGUCUCUGGGCAGUAACUGACGCUGAGGAGCGAAGGCGUGGGGAGCGAACAGGAUUAGAUACCCUAGUAGUCC
rnacentral:rRNA from 1 species